GAGCGAAUGGAUUAAGAGCUUGCUCUUAUGAAGUUAGCGGCGGACGGGUGAGUAACACGUGGGUAACCUGCCCAUAAGACUGGGAUAACUCCGGGAAACCGGGGCUAAUACCGGAUAACAUUUUGAACCGCAUGGUUCGAAAUUGAAAGGCGGCUUCGGCUGUCACUUAUGGAUGGACCCGCGUCGCAUUAGCUAGUUGGUGAGGUAACGGCUCACCAAGGCAACGAUGCGUAGCCGACCUGAGAGGGUGAUCGGCCACACUGGGACUGAGACACGGCCCAGACUCCUACGGGAGGCAGCAGUAGGGAAUCUUCCGCAAUGGACGAAAGUCUGACGGAGCAACGCCGCGUGAGUGAUGAAGGCUUUCGGGUCGUAAAACUCUGUUGUUAGGGAAGAACAAGUGCUAGUUGAAUAAGCUGGCACCUUGACGGUACCUAACCAGAAAGCCACGGCUAACUACGUGCCAGCAGCCGCGGUAAUACGUAGGUGGCAAGCGUUAUCCGGAAUUAUUGGGCGUAAAGCGCGCGCAGGUGGUUUCUUAAGUCUGAUGUGAAAGCCCACGGCUCAACCGUGGAGGGUCAUUGGAAACUGGGAGACUUGAGUGCAAAAAAGGAAAGUGGAAUUCCAUGUGUAGCGGUGAAAUGCGUAGAGAUAUGGAGGAACACCAGUGGCGAAGGCAACUUUCUGGUCUGUAACUGACACUGAGGCGCGAAAGCGUGGGGAGCAAACAGGAUUAGAUACCCUGGUAGUCCACGCCGUAAACGAUGAGUGYUAAGUGUUAGAGGGUUUCCGCCCUUUAGUGCUGAAGUUAACGCAUUAAGCACUCCGCCUGGGGAGUACGGCCGCAAGGCUGAAACUCAAAGGAAUUGACGGGGGCCCGCACAAGCGGUGGAGCAUGUGGUUUAAUUGGAAGCAACGCGAAGAACCUUACCAGGUCUUGACAUCCUUUGACAACCCUAGAGAUAGGGCUUCUCCUUCGGGAGCAGAGUGACAGGUGGUGCAUGGUUGUCGUCAGCUCGUGUCGUGAGAUGUUGGGUUAAGUCCCGCAACGAGCGCAACCCUUGAUUUUAGUUGCCAUCAUUUAGUUGGGCACUUUAAGGUGACUGCCGGUGACAAACCGGAGGAAGGUGGGGAUGACGUCAAAUCAUCAUGCCCCUUAUGACCUGGGCUACACACGUGCUACAAUGGACGGUACAAAGAGCUGCAAGACCGCGAGGUGGAGCUAAUCUCAUAAAACCGUUUUCAGUUCGGAUUGUAGGCUGCAACUUGCCUACAUGAAGCUGGAAUCGCUAGUAAUCGCGGAUCAGCA
rnacentral:rRNA from 1 species